rnacentral:misc_RNA from 1 species
UGUCGAAGUUCAUCUUAGAUAUUUACUCAUUCAAAUAGUUAUCAAUUGUACCUUGAGAGGAUUCUCAUCACAUGUGAUUAGAUCUCUCUGUAUUUAUCCAUUUGUCAACUUGAGAGAAAAGAAAGAGAAGAUUGGAAGUAACUUUGGGUCAAAGACAAGGCAAGAAUCACCAAAGCCAAGGAAUCCAGACCUGAUUAAAAAUUCCAAUCACAUUAAUACGACGAAGUUUCUUGUCAUUAUCGUUAAUAACGCUAACGUAAGAGACAACCCACCAUCGAUUGCGACCACAAUAACUUUUCCCAUCUCGUAACCAAAACCAACAAAACAGCCAACAGGGG